rnacentral:rRNA from 1 species
AGUGAACGCUGGCGGUAGGCGUAACACAUGCAAGUCGAACGGCAGCACAGUAAGAGCUUGCUCUUACGGGUGGCGAGUGGCGGACGGGUGAGGAAUACAUCGGAAUCUACUUUUUCGUGGGGGAUAACGUAGGGAAACUUACGCUAAUACCGCAUACGACCUACGGGUGAAAGCAGGGGAUCUUCGGACCUUGCGCGAUUGAAUGAGCCGAUGUCGGAUUAGCUAGUUGGCGGGGUAAAGGCCCACCAAGGCGACGAUCCGUAGCUGGUCUGAGAGGAUGAUCAGCCACACUGGAACUGAGACACGGUCCAGACUCCUACGGGAGGCAGCAGUGGGGAAUAUUGGACAAUGGGCGCAAGCCUGAUCCAGCCAUACCGCGUGGGUGAAGAAGGCCUUCGGGUUGUAAAGCCCUUUUGUUGGGAAAGAAAAGCAGCAGGUUAAGACCCCGCUGUUCUGACGGUACCCAAAGAAUAAGCACCGGCUAACUUCGU